GUCUUUCCUGCUCAGCUCAGUUAAGGUUCCGGAUAUGCUGCUGACGCCUGGGGCAAUGAUUGCCUUUUGAGGUUCUUGUAGUGUUUGUUUGUUUGUGGCUUGUGUUGUUUGCUGAGAGAGGGUCUGACAUAUCCUUGUCUGACUCCAAAUCCGUGAUCCUCCUGGCUCCACCUCCCAAGUGCUCGGAUUAGAGGCUUGUGCCACCAAAGAAGUGGUUAAUAUUUCCCAUGUCCUGCGUGCGAAAGAGGAUCCAAGCAGUCCUAAUUUAGGAAUUCGCUCUCUUAAAGAAACUCUUUCACUAGUAGCACAGGACAAUAAUCUGCCACUCAAUAGGCUUAGGCGGAAGAAUCACGAGUUCAAGGCCAGUCUGGGUGACUUAGUGAGACCUCGGACUCAAAAUAAUACUGUAAGAGCACUGGGGCUAUAGCUCGGUGUCAGCGCGUUAGCCCAGCCCUGGGUAGCCCUGAAUUCACACUAGCGGGCAUUUCUCCAUCCAAGACGCUUUUUAAAAUAGACUGGUUUUUUUUUUUUUUUAAUAAUGUGUGUGUUUUACCUUCAUGCAUACAGGAGGAGCUCCUGACGGCCAUAAAAGGGCGUCAGAUCCCCUGGAACUUGAGUGACAACCUGUUGUGAACUGCCCUGUGGGUGCUCGGGAUGGAAUCUGAGUCCCCCUGCAAGAGUAGCAAUGCUCUUGUUUGUUUGUUUUGGUGUUUUCGAGACAGGGUUUCUCUGUAUAGCCCUGGCUUUCCUGGAACUCACUCUGUAGACCAGGCUGGUCUCAGAGAUCCACCUGCCUCUGCCUCCCAAGUGCUGGGAUUAAAGGCGUGCUCCACCACCACCUGGUGAGAAGCAAUGCUCUUAACCAGUGAGCCACCUCUUCAGCUCUCCCAACCCCUCCCCAAAAGACCCUUUCUUUGUUUUUUGUUUUUGUUUUUCUGAGACAGGGUGUUAAUGUAUAGUCUGACACUUUUUUUUUUUUUUUUUUUUUUUGGUUUUCCGAGACAGGGUUUCUCUGUUUAGCCCUGGCUGUCCUGGAACUCACUCUGUAGUCCAGACUGGCCUCGAACUCAGAAAUCCGCCUGCCUCUGCCUCCUGAGUGCUGGGAUUAAAGGAGUGCGCCACCACGCCCAGAAUUUUUUUUGACACUUUUAAUAAUAAAUAAUUGCCCCCU
rnacentral:lncRNA from 1 species